rnacentral:sRNA from 1 species
UCAGUCUCACGAUUUGAUAGUUUGUGCUUUAUGCGAUGAAUCCUUGUAAGCGGAGAGGCCUAAAGUCAAGCUCAUGAAGAAUAUAGGCUAGGCGAGUAUAGCUGGCUGUGCUUUGCUUAUCGGGAGGCACCCGGCGCCGCAUCAUAAACUAUGUAAAUGGAGCAUAUCUAAGUGAGCUACAUUCAUCGUUUUUUUGAC